GCAGUUUUGAGAAGACUGAUACCACUAACACAAACGAAUGGGGUCACUCAGAUACACACACUGAGUUUUCAAUGCUGCAGAAGAGAGAGGCUCUCAGAUUUCAUAUAGGAAUAGCCCACAUUCCUCUCUUUUCUAGGACACAAAAAUAGAGUUUGCUUAAUGCACAGAUUCGAAAUUUUAGCAUGAGACGAUGCCCCUGCGGUUAUGCCGUCCCUAUUGUGGAAUUCCAUCGCACUUUCUAGAAUCAAGUGUUU
rnacentral:lncRNA from 1 species